rnacentral:rRNA from 1 species
AUACGUAGGGGGCGAGCGUUGUCCGGAAUGAUUGGGCGUAAAGGGCGCGUAGGCGGCGCGGUAAGUCUGGAGUGAAAGUCCUGCUUUCAAGGUGGGAAUUGCUUUGGAUACUGCCGCGCUUGAGUGCAGGAGAGGUUAUCGGAAUUACCAGUGUAGCGGUGAAAUGCGUAGAGAUCGGGAGGAACACCAGUGGCGAAGGCGGGUAACUGGACUGCAACUGACGCUGAGGCGCGAAAGUGUGGGGAGCAAACAGGAUUAGAUACCCUGGUAGUCCACACUGUAAACGAUGAAUGCUAGGUGUAAGAGGUAUCGACCCCUUUUGUGCCGGAGUCAACACAAUAAGCAUUCCGCCUGGGGAGUACGGCCGCAAGGUUGAAACUCAAAUGAAUUGACGGGG